rnacentral:lncRNA from 1 species
AUAAGACCGGGAUGGAAGAGUCCAAUGGGAACCUUACCAUCCAUAGAGACACCAUCCUGUCUGAGGUGUGCUGGGAUCACGUCACCAUAACAAACCUAUGAGUCUUUCUGGUGUGCUGUAAUGGCUGGAAGUGCUGAGAUCUUUGGUGGCUUUAAUUGACCCUCAGGAGGGAAGCUGACUCAGUCUCAAGAGAAAGCCUUAAACUUGCUGGACAUUUGGAAAACCAUACUUGCAGCUGUUCCUGGGCCUAUGUGAGCGACCUCAGUGGAGC